UGGCUCAGGAUGAACGCUAGCGGCAGGCCUAAUACAUGCAAGUCGAACGGGAUUGAGAGCUUGCUUUCAUGAGAGUGGCGUACGGGUGCGUAACGCGUAUGCAACCUACCUUCAUCAGGGGGAUAGCCCGAAGAAAUUCGGAUUAACACCGCAUAAAAACACAGCUUGGCAUCAAGCAAUGUUCAAAUAUUUAUAGGAUGAAGAUGGGCAUGCGUGUCAUUAGCUAGUUGGUAAGGUAACGGCUUACCAAGGCUACGAUGACUAGGGGAUCUGAGAGGAUGACCCCCCACACUGGUACUGAGACACGGACCAGACUCCUACGGGAGGCAGCAGUAAGGAAUAUUGGUCAAUGGAGGCAACUCUGAACCAGCCAUGCCGCGUGCAGGAAGACUGCCUUAUGGGUUGUAAACUGCUUUUAUACGGGAAUAAACCUUAAUUCGUGAACUAAGCUGAAUGUACCGUAAGAAUAAGGAUCGGCUAACUCCGUGCCAGCAGCCGCGGUAAUACGGAGGAUCCAAGCGUUAUCCGGAUUUAUUGGGUUUAAAGGGAGCGUAGGCGGCUUGUUAAGUCAGGGGUGAAAGACGGUGGCUCAACCAUCGCAGUGCCUUUGAUACUGACGAGCUUGAAUAUAGUUGAGGUAGGCGGAAUGUGACAAGUAGCGGUGAAAUGCAUAGAUAUGUCACAGAACACCGAUUGCGAAGGCAGCUUACUAAGCUAUUAUUGACGCUGAGGCUCGAAAGCGUGGGGGAUCAAACAGGAUUAGAUACCCUGGUAGUCCCACGCCCUAAACGAUG
rnacentral:rRNA from 1 species